rnacentral:tRNA from 1 species
CGGGGCAUAGCUCAGUCCGGUAGAGCACCUGGUUUGGGACCAGGACGUCGUCGGUUCAAAUCCGGCUGCCCCGA